rnacentral:rRNA from 1 species
UACGGAGGAUGCAAGCGUUAUCCGGAAUGAUUGGGCGUAAAGCGUCCGCAGGUGGCUGUGUAAGUCUGCUGUUAAAGAGUCUAGCUCAACUAGAUACAAGCAGUGGAAACUACACGGCUAGAGUACGUUCGGGGCAGAGGGAAUUCCUGGUGUAGCGGUGAAAUGCGUAGAGAUCAGGAAGAACAUCGGUGGCGAAGGCGCUCUGCUGGACCAUAACUGACACUCAGGGACGAAAGCUAGGGGAGCGAAUGGG